AAUAUUCAAUUUAGUUACAGUUUCAGUCACAGUCUCCAUUUCGACAGUUGUUUUUGGCAACAAAAUUGUACUCCAGUAAAUAGAUUAGAUAUUUCUUCCUACAAAAUAUGAGCAAACCCUCAAAAACCUCGGAAAAGGGGGACAUUCCUAAACUACAGAAACGCAUUGCCAAAUGCAGAAGACGGCACAAGACCAAUCAAAAUGCAUUGCAGCGGCUGCAAUUGAGGAUUUUCAUCAGGAAAACUAUGAUCCUGGAGCUGGAGAAGAGACUUUUGGGCAAAAGAAAGCGCUAGACAGGGAGGAAGGGCAGCUAGAGAUCAUAGAACUGCAGGAGGAGGUCUACAGUUCUGAAGGGAAGGCUUUUCUUAACACAAACUAAAGGCGGAACCCUAAGGAAGAGAUUAAGAAUUGAAGAACUGCCGAGGAAACCUCUUGCUGGAAGAAGAAUCUCAAAUAGAAAACGCUAGGCAUUAAGAAAAGGCAUUUAAGGAGGCAGCUGGAGAUCAUAGAAGUGACGAAAGAGGUAUACAGAUCUGAAGAAAAGACUUUUGUUGCAAGGAAAAUUACCAGAAACUCAAGGCGGAACCCUAAUCCAGAGGUUGGGGUUUGAAGAACUGCUGAGAAGACUUGUCUGGGCGAAGAAUCUCAAUCAGAAAGAGCUAGAAACCCAUUGCAAGUCAGCUAGAUAUUACAGAACUAAGAUCUACAGAUCUGCAAGACCUGAAGAGAAGACUUUUCUUACCACAAACUAAAGGCGGAACCCUAAGGAAGAGACUAAAGAUUGAAGAGCUGCAGAUAAGACUUGUCUAGGAGCAGAAUCUCCAUGUGAUCUAUGAUCUCUAAAGAACAAAAAGAAACCUCCUUAAGCAGAUGAUGAUCAGGCAACAAAAUGACUCAAAAACCAUCCAGAAAUAACCUCAAGACAUUCGUUAUAUGGGAAACAGAAGAACUUACAAGAUAUUCAUGGGGAAACCUCUACAAAAAUAAGAGAUUACAGCACAAACUCGAUCCGCAAGCGCCACAAAAGCUUGUCUGAAAAGAAAUCCUGUCCAUCGCCAAGAAACCCCGACAACAACCCGUUCAAAAUCAAUUCCCUUUUGUCUCGAAUCGAACAAAAAUAAACUAUAACAGAAUCAAACCAAAUCAAAGCAACUGAAGGGAAGUAAUGGUAUCCUUUACGGGUAUAUCCUUGUGUUGAAUGGAAAGUUUUCCACAACAUUAAUAAAUAUUUACAGGCACGUCGCGUUCUUCCACCAAAUGGUCCAAUGGUCCAGUCGUCGUCGUCGUCUCCUUUUCUUGGGCCAUGAAAUCAAAUCAAAUAUGCGCGCCUGAUGCUCUUCCUGCCUCCCUGCGAAGGCGUGCUCACAGGAAUUUAAAUCAUUCGAAGGACUUACAUGCUACUUACAACAGCCAAAGAGUAGCCUAUAUGGAGCCAAGGAUGUGUGUGUGUGUGUGUGUGGAUAGACAGAUAGAUAGAUGGGCCAUCCCUCAGCUCUUGGCGAUGCCACGUUUUGGGGCAAGUUUUAUUAUUAUGUU